rnacentral:rRNA from 1 species
AUUGAACGCUGGCGGCAGGCCUAACACAUGCACGUCGAGCGAGCGGCGGACGGGUGAGUAAUGUCUGGGAAACUGCCUGAUGGAGGGGGAUAACUACUGGAAACGGUAGCUAAUACCGCAUACCAUCAGAUGUGCCCAGAUGGGCUUAGCUAGUAGGUGGGGUAAUGGCCUCCCAAGGCGACGAUCUGUAUCGGGUCUGAGAGGCUGAUCCGCAACAAUGGGAAUGGGACACGGCCCAGACUCCUACGGGAGGCAGCAGUGGGGAAUAUUGGACAAUGGGGGGAACCCUGAUCCAGCCAUGCCGCGUGUGUGAAGAAGGCCUUAUGGUUGUAAAGCACUUUAAGCGAGGAGGCGUUACUCGCAGAAUAAGCACCGGCUAACUCUGUGCCAGCAGCCGCGGUAAUGC